GACGAACGCUGGCAGCAUGCUUAACACAUGCAAGUCGAACGGGAAGUCGCUGCUUCACCGUGGUAACCAUGGCGGACGGGUGAGUAACACGUGAGGAACUUACCCGCGGGACUGGGAUAACACCAGGAAACUGCUGACAAGACCGGAUAUGGUCGUUAAGCUGCCUAGCUGAGGGAUGAAAGGGGACGCCUGCGGAGAGCCUUGCGUCCGAUUAGCUAGUUGGGGGGGUGGCGGCCCACCAACGCGAAGUUGGGGAGCCGGCCUGAGAGGGUGGACGGCCACAGGGACAGAGAGAUACGGCCGAUACCCCUGGGGGAGGCAGCAGUGGGGAAUAUUGGACAAUGCGGGCAACCCUGGUCCAGCAAUGCGGUGUGCACGAAGACGGUUUUCGUAGUGUAAAGUGCUUGCAGCAGUGAAGGAGGAAGUGACGGUAAUGGGUGAAGAAGCGACGGCUAACUACGUG
rnacentral:rRNA from 1 species